rnacentral:sRNA from 1 species
AUGUACUUUGUGUACACUCCGGUUCCUCCGCUCCGUGCGCCUUGCCCUGCGUCCGCUCGCUACGAUUUCUGCC